UACGUAUGGUGCAAGCGUUAUCCGGAAUGACUGGGUGUAAAGGGAGCGUAGACGGUUGUACAAGUCUGAUGUGAAAGCCCACGGCUCAACUGUGGGAGUGCAUUGGAAACUGUAGAACUAGAGUAUCGGAGAGGCAAGUGGAAUUCCUAGUGUAGCGGUGAAAUGCGUAGAUAUUAGGAGGAACACCAGUGGCGAAGGCGGCUUGCUGGACGAAAACUGACGUUGAGGCUCGAAAGCGUGGGGAGCAAACAGG
rnacentral:rRNA from 1 species